UUGUGUGUGUCUCCGAAAACUGCCCAAGAAGAAAAGGUGAAGCGUUACCUCCAC
rnacentral:ribozyme from 1 species